rnacentral:rRNA from 1 species
GACGAACGCUGGCGGCGUGCUUAACACAUGCAAGUCGAACGGUGAGGCCCUGCUUUUGUUGUUUUCGCGAGUGGCGAGCGGGGGAGUAUCACGUGAGUAACCUCCCCUUUACUUUGGGGUAACUUCAUGAAACUGGAUCUAUUAUCGGAUAGGAGCUCCGACGGCAUGGUUGGUUUUUUAAAGAUUCGGCGUUUGGGGAUGGACUCGCGGCUUAGCAGCUUGUUGGUUGGGUAGUGGAGUACCAAGGCUUUGACGGGUAGCCGGCCUGAGAGGGUGACAGGCCACAGUGGGAUUGAGAUAGGGGCCAGACUGCUACGGGAGGAAGCAGUGGGGAAUAGUGCACACUGGGCGGCAGCCUGAUGGAGCAACGCCGCGUGCGGGAUGACGGCUUUAGGGUUGUAAACCGUUUUAGCCUGUGACGAAGCGUGAGUGACGGUAAUGGGUAAAGAAGCACCGGCUAACUACGUG